rnacentral:rRNA from 1 species
AUUGAACGCUGGCGGCAUGCCUUACACAUGCAAGUCGAACGGUAACAGGUCUUCGGAUGCUGACGAGUGGCGAACGGGUGAGUAAUACAUCGGAACGUGCCUAGUAGUGGGGGAUAACUACUCGAAAGAGUGGCUAAUACCGCAUGAGAUCUACGGAUGAAAGCAGGGGAUCGCAAGACCUUGUGCUACUAGAGCGGCCGAUGGCAGAUUAGGUAGUUGGUGGGAUAAAAGCUUACCAAGCCGACGAUCUGUAGCUGGUCUGAGAGGACGAUCAGCCACACUGGGACUGAGACACGGCCCAGACUCCUACGGGAGGCAGCAGUGGGGAAUUUUGGACAAUGGGCGCGAGCCUGAUCCAGCAAUGCCGUGUGCAGGAUGAAGGCCUUCGGGUUGUAAACUGCUUUUGUACGGAACGAAAAGCCCUGGGUUAAUACCCUGGGGUCAUGACGGUACCGUAAGAAUAAGCACCGGCUAACUACGUGCCAGCCGCCGCGGUAAUAC